UCGGCAACGACCACCCAGAGCCGGAAAGUUGGUCAAACUCGGUCAUUUAGAGGAAGUAAAAGUCGUAACAAGGUCUCCGUAGGUGAACCUGCGGAGGGAUCAUUA
rnacentral:rRNA from 2 species